rnacentral:rRNA from 1 species
UUGACGGGGACCCGCACAAGCGGUGGAGCAUGUGGUUUAAUUCGAAGCAACGCGAAGAACCUUACCAAAUCUUGACAUCCUUUGACAACUCUAGAGAUAGAGCCUUCCUCUUCGGGGGACAAAGUGACAGGUGGUGCAUGGUUGUCGUCAGCUCGUGUCGUGAGAUGUUGGGUUAAGUCCCGCAACGAGCGCAACCCUUAAGCUUAGUUGCCAUCAUUAAGUUGGGCACUCUAAGUUGACUGCCGGUGACAAACCGGAGGAAGGUGGGGAUGACGUCAAAUCAUCAUGCCCCUUAUGAUUUGGGCUACACACGUGCUACAAUGGACAAUACAAAGGGCAGCGAAACCGCGAGGUCAAGCAAAUCCCAUAAAGUUGUUCUCAGUUCGGAUUGUAGUCUGCAACUCGACUACAUGAAGCUGGAAUCGCUAGUAAUCGUAGAUCAGCAUGCUACGGUGAAUACGUUCCCGGGUCUUGUACACACCGCCCGUCACACCACGAGAGUUUGUAACACCCGAAGCCG